CCGUGGAGGUCCCGAUUGAUUUUCACGAUGGUGGCGAGGAAGUGGAUCGUCCUGCGGAUGCGUUUGGUGCUUCGUUGUCCGGGGACUUCGACUUUGGAGUAUGAGGGGUGGAUCAGUUAUCCUUGUUUUCGGCCGAAUGUGGCCCUUUGAAUUUGGAUUUCGUUUAGGCCAAGAUGGCCGUAUUUGUAUUUCCGGGACUGGCCGUUGGUGGCUUUGAAUCCCUUGCCGCUUUUACGCGGUUUAUUUAUAUGAUAAAUGUUUUGUUUC
rnacentral:lncRNA from 1 species